CAUUCUGGGAAGCAUCAAUAGUUUAAGGUACUGUUAUAGUACUUUCUGUAGAGUUCUGCAACUGUCCUUUCAUGAAAAACAAGUCCUACUUAUAGCAGAGCCUUCAGAUAAGCAUCUGCAGGAAGCAGACACCUGUAUGUCAUGAGACCAAAUAGAGGUCCCCAAAUCAUCAGACCGUAUCAGCAAAUUUCCAAUCAUUGCUGCCAUUAGUGGGGAAUAAUUGAUUGGUCUUGCAUGAACCAGAAACAAAAACUUAACCACAAAAUAAGGAAGAAAAAAAACACCGGAAUCAGUAAAGUUAGUUUUAUCACUGCUUGAAAUUCACUCUGGAAGUGAAGAAAAGAUGAGUCUGGCUUAAGCAACCCAUGGAUGCACUUCUCAAGCAAGGCAGUUAAUUGGCUCUGUCAGGUAAGUCCAUUUGGAUAUCUCAGGGGGAUGACCUUUGAAAGUGCUAAAGUAAAUUUUCAGAAAGGUAAAAGCUUGACUCUCAUGCAAAUAUGAAAUAGGCACAUGCCAAAAAUGUUAUUAAAUCCAUUAAUUGAUGUGGGAAGCAAUGUUAAUAUUGGCUCACAAAGCGCUUGAGGAACUGGAGAUUUGUACACAGCUUAGUAUCCUGCAAGACCGUAAACUGUAACCUUUGGUGUUAUCUUUUCCACUGGACAGAAAUUAUUUGCAUCUCCACCAGAGAAAACCCACAAGUGAAUCUCCCCCAUGGAAUGGUGAAACAGCCCAGUGAGGAGGAAGUCAAUGGAAGGUGCAAGCCAAGCACUGCUCUGAAAGAGCACGUAGAAAUCUCUUUUUUCUUGUGGUAGGAUUAAGGUUAUAAAGACAAAUAAGAAGUUCUCAUUUAUCAUGUAAUAGUUUAUUGUUGUGAGUACAUUUGAGCCAAUUCUAGUGACCCUGUGGACAGCAGAGAGUGUGACAGGCUCUUAACAUCAGCCCUGAUACUUCCCCCACAUUGAACCCAGCCUACAUGGGGUUAAAACUAAAACCCACCACCCCCUUUCCUGCUUCUCUAGCUCCACUCACAUGUAAAUACCUGUUUCUUUAAACUUUGACUUUUUGAGCUUUACAACUAAAUGGGAGUUACAAAUUGUUAAAAGCCCAGGUGGCCUGGAGUUGGAGGCACACUAAGGUUUAGCUAAUCAUGUGUCCUUGAAGUUUGCCAGGAAAGCCGCUGUCUCAAGAAUAUCAGGGAGCGGAGGCAUCCGAGACCUCAACUCCUUGACUCCCUGCGCUCGAACCCGCCUCAAACAGGAAGAUGAGACAAAGGUGAAGGACGCCCAGCUGCCAUCCUCCUAUCUCACCAUUCCCCCCGCCUGGCUGCAAGCAGCCUCUCAAGGCCAAACUCAGGCUGGUGGAAAAGCGCUGACCUGCACAAGCUACAUGUUCCCCCUGCCCUACCCAAAACCCCAAAUAAAAAUUCCUACCCCUUCCUCGUCGGGGAGCUAGCAAUUUUUGAGGCAUGAGCCCUUGCUUUGCUCCCUGUGCCUGGCAUAGUAAAAACCUUUCCUCUUCC
ensembl:lncRNA